AAAAGACCAGAAGAUUGCCGACAGAAGCGUUCAAAUGACUAGAAAAAUAAUUGAGAAAGGAACACUGAUUUUCAUUUUUUGCUUUGUUUUUGUG
rnacentral:ribozyme from 13 species